UACAGAGGUCUCAAGCGUUGUUCGGAUUCAUUGGGCGUAAAGGGUGCGUAGGCGGCGCGGUAAGUCGGAUGUGAAAUCUCGGAGCUUAACUUCGAAACUGCAUUCGAUACUGCCGUGCUUGAGGACUGGAGAGGAGACUGGAAUUUACGGUGUAGCGGUGAAAUGCGCAGAUAUCAGGAGGAACACCGGUGGCGAAGGCGGGUCUCUGGGCCGAUACUGACGCUGAGGAGCGAAAGCGUGGGGAGCGAACAGG
rnacentral:rRNA from 1 species